AGUGAACGCUGGCGGUAGGCCUAACACAUGCAAGUCGAACGGCAGCACAGUAAGAGCUUGCUCUUACGGGUGGCGAGUGGCGGACGGGUGAGGAAUAUAUCGGAAUCUACUUUUUCGUGGGGGAUAACGUAGGGAAACUUACGCUAAUACCGCAUACGACCUACGGGUGAAAGCAGGGGAUCUUCGGACCUUGCGCGAUUGAAUGAGCCGAUGUCGGAUUAGCUAGUUGGCGGGGUAAAGGCCCACCAAGGCGCCGAUCCGUAGCUGGUCUGAGAGGAUGAUCAGCCACACUGGAACUGAGACACGGUCCAGACUCCUACGGGAGGCAGCAGUGGGGAAUAUUGGACAAUGGGCGCAAGCCUGAUCCAGCCAUACCGCGUGGGUGAAGAAGGCCUUCGGGUUGUAAAGCCCUUUUGUUGGGAAAGAAAAGCAGCAGGUUAAUACCCCGCUGUUCUGACGGUACCCAAAGAAUAAGCACCGGCUAACUUCGUG
rnacentral:rRNA from 1 species